rnacentral:rRNA from 1 species
UAGGGAAUCUUCCGCAAUGGACGCAAGUCUGACGGAGCAACGCCGCGUGAGUGAAGAAGGAUUUCGGUUCGUAAAACUCUGUUGUUAGAGAAGAACAGCGCAUAGAGUAACUGUUAUGCGUGUGACGGUAUCUAACCAGAAAGCCACGGCUAACUACGUGCCAGCAGCCGCGGUAAUACGUAGGUGGCAAGCGUUAUCCGGAAUUAUUGGGCGUAAAGCGCGCGUAGGCGGUUUUUUAAGUCUGAUGUGAAAGCCCACGGCUCAACCGUGGAGGGUCAUUGGAAACUGGAAAACUUGAGUGCAGAAGAGGAAAGUGGAAUUCCAUGUGUAGCGGUGAAAUGCGCAGAGAUAUGGAGGAACACCAGUGGCGAAGGCGACUCUCUGGUCUGUAACUGACGCUGAGGUUCGAAAGCGUGGGUAGCAAACAGG